GAUUUUGGACACAGCCUGACAGGACAGCCAAUAGGAUUGCACAUGGGCCAAGAUGGGGGGCAUCCAGAAAAGCGAGGAAUCUAGAACUCCAAGGUCUGGGGGGCCUGAGCUCCUGGAGGGAUAGACCUGACACCCCCUGAGGGGGGAGGGCUAGGGAGGCAUAGCUAUUGGGAGUUUGGUCUUGUCCAUGCUGAGGGUGAGCUGUCUAUUCGAGUCUGUGUGGGGACACCCAAAGGGCCGUUGGACACAUGAUUCCAGAGUUGAGAGAAUCAGGCCUGGAAAUGACAAGUCUGUGGCAUGUCAACAUCUAGAGCUGCCCUAGUGAAUGAGUGUGGACAGAGAUGCCCCAGGACCCUCCACCAGAGACCGAGAGGGGCCACCAGCUGGACAGGAAACAGAAGAGGUUCUCGAGGCUGUAAGUCCUGGAUCAUGGCAUCAGCGCUGUGGACCCUCCUCCUGGCUUGCAGACAGCCGUCUUCUCACUGUGCAUGUGGUGCAGGGAGAGAGAAGGAGGGAGAGACAGAGACACAGAGUUAGUUUUUUGGUGUCUCUACCCUCGUGAUUUAUCUAAUCCCGAUUACCUACCGAAGGCUCCCUCUACAAAUAUAACAUUGGGCGUUAGGACUUCAACUUAUGGAUUUUGGGGGAGCCAUGAUUUAGUCCACAGCAAUGUUGGAUGUGAAAGGCUGUUCAGAUUUCUGGUGUUUAAACCAUGUUGUGAUAUGCUAAUUGUGUCCAUGUCUGUGGCUGUUUGCAGGGAUUUCGUGGGUUUGUCUUUGCUCAUUUUCAUUCUUGUACAGGGCACUUGGUUUUUUCCUGAAAUUUGCUACAGCUUAUUAUUAUGUGUGUGUGUUUAAAUGUCUAUCCUCCAAUCAGCCAUGAGAGCAGGACCUCUAUAGCCCUUGGCUGCACCCCCAGUGCCUAGAAUAGCUUCUGUCUCAUUGUAAGUGCUCACGAAACACUGGCUGAAGACCGUGGUGUUCUCCAGCACCAGCCCAGCACCCAGCACUGGCCGCUGAGGACAGCUUCCUGCGAGGAUCCUUCAGAACCCAGUCUGUUAUCUCCCAAAUGGCAUUGACCUUGGGAAGUUUAGGAAGCAAACUGUCUGGUACAAGAGAGCAGCUGGCUCAAAGCCCAGACCAGAACCUCUACAGGAAGGGGCCCCUCUCCCCACUGAAAGGCAGAAUUACUAGUGAGGUUGCUCACUGGAGGAAGUAAGACCAGGUUCAAAGUUGCCCAGUGCCCUCCGGCACCUGAGCUGAUGCCCCAGCAACUGGCCUGGACAUGUGCCCUUUCUCCGGGUGAUUGUGAUGACGUCAUUUUGGGAAGAGGAGCUGGCAUUGGCACUCUCUGAGACCCCGAGCCUUGGGUUGGCCUGAUGGAGGGAAGCUACCUACUAGUCACCGAUGGGUGAGCAUUACGUCGAGCAGAGAUGGGAGAUCGAGCACAGGUCCGCCUGCAUCGAAAGCCUGUGACCGUACACUACGCCAUCUUUGAGGAAAGAAGGGGACCCAGCCAGGUGAAAGUCUUUUCCGGAGCUGCCUUCUACCCUGUCUUUGAUCCCAGAAUAACCUGGCUCACACCUGCAGAAAAUCUUGCUGGGAUUCUGACAGCAACUGCAUUAACACCUGGAUAUCGGGGCGCCUGGG